GUGAUCUCGGCUCACUGCAACAUCUACCUCCCAGACUCAAGCUGUUUCCAUGGUAACCAAAGGGGUCUCCGGGUGGCUGGCUGGGCUGAAUAUCAGGUUCUACAGGCCUGGAAGCAUCUCCCCUCCCACUGUUGAUCCAUCUCCUUCGCUUCACUGAGGAAAGUCAAUGGGAAGCGUCAAAGGAUCCACUGACCUCUGUCGGAUUUCUCUGGAAACGACUCCCAGCAAACAAGAUUCCUUUAUUUGAUGAGCCCUUCAGGACAGGGAUCUGGGGUUGACUCUUCUCCAUGCAGACCUACACGGACUGCUCCCCUAAGCAGCAGCUACGUGAACUGAGCGGUCCUGGUUCCAGUCCCCUCUCUUGAUCCAGAGUCCUCAGUACAGCUCUCUGAAAAAGCUAAAUAAGCUAUGCCGACACCUCCAAAGGACCAGCACUAAGCCCCUUAACGUACCUCUUAAUCCUUUCUGCUGACUAUUCCCUGGGGUUGGGCAGAAGUAAAGUGCACAUUCAAUUCUGUGAUAUGACUUGUGUUAUAAUAUACCACCAUAAGAGAACAAGCAAUUCUGGUGGGGGUGGUGAAGAGACUCCC